GACGAACGCUGGCGGCGUGCUUAACACAUGCAAGUCGAACGGAAACGCCCUGCUUGUGUGGGGUGCUCGAGUGGCGAACGGGGGAGUAACACGUGUGUAACCUGCCCUACACUUUGGGAUAACUUCAGGAAACUGGGGCUAAUACCAUAUAGGAUCCCCCGUUCCAUGGAGAGGGUUGGAACUUCUCAGCUGGUGGGGCUGGACUCGCGGCUUAUCAACUUGUUGGUGGGGGAGGGGCUGACCCAGGCUGUGACGGGUAGCCGGCAUGGGAGGGUGGCCGGGGACCUUGGGACUAAGGGAGGCAGCAGACGCCAACGGGAGGCAGCGGUGGCGAGCAUUGUCCAAUGGGCGCAAGUCGGAUGAAGAGACGUCGGGUGUGGGAUGACGGCCUGUGGGUAGAGAAAAGCUUUAGCCUGUGACGACGCGGGAGUGACGGUACUGGGUGAAGAAGCACCGGCUAACUACGUG
rnacentral:rRNA from 1 species